CCUACGGGAGGCAGCAGUGAGGAAUAUUGGUCAAUGGGCGUAAGCCUGAACCAGCCACGUCGCGUGAGGGAUGAAGGUUCUAUGGAUCGUAAACCUCUUUUAUAAGGGAGUAAAGUGUGGGACGUGUCCUGUUUUGUAUGUACCUUAUGAAUAAGGAUCGGCUAACUCCGUGCCAGCAGCCGCGGUAAUACGGAGGAUCCGAGCGUUAUCCGGAUUUAUUGGGUUUAAAGGGUGCGUAGGCGGCCUUUUAAGUCGGGGGUGAAAGUCUGUGGCUCAACCAUAGAAUUGCCUGUGAAACUGGGAGGCUUGAGUAUGUUUGAGGCAAGCGGAAUGCGUGGUGUAGCGGUGAAAUGCUUAGAUAUCACGAAGAACCCCGGUUGCGAAGGCGGCCUGCCAGGCCAUGACUGACGCUGAUGCACGAAAGCGUGGGGAUCAAACAGGAUUAGAUACCCCUGUAGUC
rnacentral:rRNA from 1 species